rnacentral:rRNA from 1 species
GAUGAACGCUGGCGGCGUGCCUAAUACAUGCAAGUCAAGCGAACGGACGAGAAGCUUGCUUCUCUGAUGUUAGCGGCGGACGGGUGAGUAACACGUGGACAACCUACCUAUAAGACUGGGAUAACUUCGGGAAACCGUAGCUAAUACCGGAUAAUAUUUUGAACCGCAUGGUUCAAAAGUGAAAGACGGUCUUGCUGUCACUUAUAGAUGGAUCCGCGCUGCAUUAGCUAGUUGGUAAGGUAACGGCUUACCAAGGCAACGAUGCAUAGCCGACCUGAGAGGGUGAUCGGCCACACUGGAACUGAGACACGGUCCAGACUCCUACGGGAGGCAGCAGUAGGGAAUCUUCCGCAAUGGGCGAAAGCCUGACGGAGCAACGCCGCGUGAGUGAUGAAGGUCUUCGGAUCGUAAAACUCUGUUAUUAGGGAAGAACAUAUGUGUAAGUAACUGUGCACAUCUUGACGGUACCUAAUCAGAAAGCCACGGCUAACUACGUG